rnacentral:rRNA from 1 species
GAUGAACGCUGGCGGCGUGCCUAAUACAUGCAAGUCGAGCGAACAGACGAGGAGCUUGCUCCUCUGACGUUAGCGGCGGACGGGGGAGUAACACGUGGAUAACCUACCUAUAAGACUGGGAUAACUUCGGGAAACCGGAGCUAAUACCGGAUAAUAUAUUGAACCGCAUGGUUCAAUAGUGAAGGACGGUUUUGCUGUCACUUAUAGAUGGAUCCGCGCCGCAUUAGCUAGUUGGUAAGGUAACGGCUUACCAAGGCAACGAUGCGUAGCCGACCUGAGAGGGUGAUCGGCCACACUGGAACUGAGACACGGUCCAGACUCCUACGGGAGGCAGCAGUAGGGAAUCUUCCGCAAUGGGCGAAAGCCUGACGGAGCAACGCCGCGUGAGUGAUGAAGGUCUUCGGAUCGUAAAACUCUGUUAUUAGGGAAGAACAAAUGUGUAAGUAACUAUGCACGUCUUGACGGUACCUAAUCAGAAAGCCACGGCUAACUACGUG